rnacentral:rRNA from 1 species
AUUGAACGCUGGCGGUAUGCUUAACACAUGCAAGUCGAACGGUAACAGGCCUUCGGGCGCUGACGAGUGGCGGACGGUGAGUAACGCGUAGGAAUCUGCCUCAUAGUGGGGACAACGUGGGGAAACUCACGCUAAUACCGCAUACGCCCUACGGGGAAAGCGGGGGAUCUUCGGACCUCGCGCUAUGAGAUGAGCCUGCGUUAGAUUAGCUAGUUGGUAGGGUAAAGGCCUACCAAGGCGACGAUCUAUAGCUGGUCUGAGAGGACGAUCAGCCACACUGGGACUGAGACACGGCCCAGACUCCUACGGGAGGCAGCAGUGGGGAAUAUUGGACAAUGGGCGCAAGCCUGAUCCAGCAAUACCGCGUGUGUGAAGAAGGCCCCUAAGGGUUGUAAAGCACUUUCAAUUUGGGAGGGAAAACCUGUCGGUCAAUACCCGGCAGCUUGACAUUACCUUUAGAAGAAGCACCGGCUAACUCCGUGCCAGCAGCCGCGGUAAU